rnacentral:rRNA from 1 species
CGGCGUGCUUAACACAUGCAAGUCGAACGGUAAGGCCCUUUCGGGGGUACACGAGUGGCGAACGGGUGAGUAACACGUGGGUGAUCUGCCCUGCACUUUGGGAUAAGCCUGGGAAACUGGGUCUAAUACCGAAUAGGACUACGCGAUGCAUGUCGUGUGGUGGAAAGCUUUUGCGGUGUGGGAUGGGCCCGCGGCCUAUCAGCUUGUUGGUGGGGUGAUGGCCUACCAAGGCGACGACGGGUAGCCGGCCUGAGAGGGUGUCCGGCCACACUGGGACUGAGAUACGGCCCAGACUCCUACGGGAGGCAGCAGUGGGGAAUAUUGCACAAUGGGCGCAAGCCUGAUGCAGCGACGCCGCGUGAGGGAUGACGGCCUUCGGGUUGUAAACCUCUUUCAACGCCGACGAAGCGUAAGUGACGGUAGGCGUAGAAGAAGCACCGGCCAACUACGUGCCAGCAGCCGCGGUAAUACGUAGGGUGCGAGCGUUGUCCGGAAUUACUGGGCGUAAAGAGCUCGUAGGUGGUUUGUCGCGUUGUUCGUGAAAACUCACAACUCAAUUGUGGGCGUGCGGGCGAUACGGGCAGACUGGAGUACUGCAGGGGAGACUGGAAUUCCUGGUGUAGCGGUGGAAUGCGCAGAUAUCAGGAGGAACACCGGUGGCGAAGGCGGGUCUCUGGGCAGUAACUGACGCUGAGGAGCGAAAGCGUGGGGAGCGAACAGGAUUAGAUACCCUGGUAGUCCACGCCGUAAACGGUGGGUACUAGGUGUGGGUUUCCUUCCUUGGGAUCCGUGCCGUAGCUAACGCAUUAAGUACCCCGCCUGGGGAGUACGGCCGCAAGGCUAAAACUCAAAGGAAUUGACGGGGGCCCGCACAAGCGGCGGAGCAUGUGGAUUAAUUCGAUGCAACGCGAAGAACCUUACCUGGGUUUGACAUGCACAGGACG